rnacentral:rRNA from 1 species
AUUGAACGCUGGCGGCAGGCCUAACACAUGCAAGUCGAACGAGUGGCGGACGGGUGAGUAAUGUCUGGGAAACUGCCUGAUGGAGGGGGAUAACUACUGGAAACGGUAGCUAAUACCGCAUACCAUCAGAUGUGCCCAGAGGGGCUUAGCUUGGUGGUGGGGUAACGGCUCACCAAGGCGACGAUCCCUAGCUGGUCUGAGAGGAUGACCAGCCACACUGGAACUGAGACACGUGCCAGAUGCGUAAGGGAGGCAGCUGUGGGGAAUAUUGCACAAUGGGCGCAAGCCUUAUGCAGCCAUGCCGCGUUUAUGAAGAAGGCCUUCGGGUUGUAAAGUACUUUCAGCGGGGCGGCGUUACCCGCAGAAGAAGCACCGGCUAACUCCGUGCCAGAAGCCGCGGUAAUAC